CAGUAGCCGCGGGAAUACGGAGGGGGCUAGCGUUGUUCGGAAUUACUGGGCGUAAAGCGCACGUAGGCGGCUUGGUAAGUUAGAGGUGAAAGCCCGGAGCUCAACUCCGGAAUUGCCUUUAAGACUGCCGAGCUAGUAGGUGAGAGAGGUAAGUGGAAUUCCGAGUGUAGAGGUGAAAUUCGUAGAUAUUCGGAAGAACACCAGUGGCGAAGGCGGCUUACUGGCUCAUUCUAGACGCUGAGGUGCGAAAGCGUGGGGAGCAAACAGGAUUAGAUACCCGUGUAGUCCCUGUCUCUUAUAC
rnacentral:rRNA from 1 species